rnacentral:rRNA from 1 species
AGAGUUUGAUCCUGGCUCAGGAUGAACGCUGGCGGCGUGCAUCAUACAUGCAAGUCGAACGAGAAAUUCUAGCUUGCUAGAAUGGAAAGUGGCGGACGGGUGAGUAAUAUAUAGGGAAUCUGCCCAUAAGAGGGGGACAACAGAGGGAAACUUCUGCUAAUACCGCAUAUGAGUAUAGUUGAAAUAUUAUACUUGAAAGGAUUUAUCGCUUAUGGAUGAGCCUGUAUCUGAUUAGCCAGUUGGCGGGGUAAAAGCCCACCAAAGCGACGAUCAGUAGCUGGUUUGAGAGGAUGAUCAGCCACAAUGGGACUGAGACACGGCCCAUACUCCUACGGGAGGCAGCAGUAGGGAAUUUUGCGCAAUGGGCGAAAGCCUGACGCAGCAACGCCGCGUGAACGAAGAAGCUUUUAGGAGCGUAAAGUUCUGUCAGUGGGGACGAAAUAUGACGGUACCCACAGAGGAAGCACCGGCUAACUCCGUGCCAGCAGCCGCGGUAAUACGGGGGGUGCAAGCGUUGUCCGGAAUCAUUGGGCGUAAAGCGUUCGUAGGCGGUACAUUAAGUCUGAUGUUAAAUCCUUGGGCUCAACUCAGGGCUGGCAUUGGAUACUGGUGAACUGGAAUGCGGCAGAGGUUAAGGGAAUUCCUGGUGUAGCGGUGAAAUGCGUAGAUAUCAGGAGGAACACCGGAGGCGAAAGCGCUUAACUGGGCCGAAAUUGACGCUGAGGAACGAAAGCCGGGGGAGCAAAUGGGAUUAGAUACCCCAGUAGUCCCGGCUGUAAACGAUGGAUACUAGGUGUUGCGGGUAUCGACCCCUGCAGUGCCGAAGCCAACGCGAUAAGUAUCCCGCCUGGGGAGUACGCACGCAAGUGUGAAACUCAAAGGAAUUGACGGGGACCCGCACAAGCGGUGGAACAUGUGGUUUAAUUCGAAGCAACGCGAAGAACCUUACCAGGGCUUGACAUCUGAGGAAUCCUAAUGAAAGUUGGGAGUGCUCGCAAGAGAGCCUCAAGACAGGUGGUGCACGGCUGUCGUCAGCUCGUGUCGUGAGAUGUUGGGUUAAGUCCCGCAACGAGCGCAACCCUCGUUAUUAGUUGCUUGCAAUGGUAUACUGUUGCAGAGCUCUCUAAUAAGACUGCCGAUGAUAAAUCGGAGGAAGGUGGGGACGACGUCAAGUCAUCAUGCCCCUUAUGCUCUGGGCUACACACGUGUUACAAUGGCUAAGACAAUGAGAAGCGAAACUGCGAAGUCAAGCAAAACUCUUAAACUUAGUCUCAGUUCGGAUUGCACUCUGCAACUCGAGUGCAUGAAGUCGGAAUCGCUAGUAAACGCAGAUCAGCACGCUGCGUUGAAUACGUUCCCGGGUCUUGUACACACCGCCCGUCACACCAUGGAAGUCGAUCACGCCCGAAGUACGUGAGCCAACCCUUUGGGGGGCAGCGUCCUAAGGCAGGGUUGAUGACUGGGGUGAAGUCGUAACAAGGUAAC